rnacentral:rRNA from 1 species
CAGUCGCCGCGGGAAAACGAAGGGUGCAAGCGUUAAUCGGAAUUACUGGGCGUAAAGCGUGCGUAGGCGGUGAGUUAAGUCUGCUGUGAAAUCCCCGGGCUCAACCUGGGAACUGCAUUUGUGACUGGCGAGCUAGAGUAUGGCAGAGGGGGGUAGAAUUCCACGUGUAGCAGUGAAAUGCGUAGAGAUGUGGAGGAACACCGAUGGCGAAGGCAGCCCCCUGGGCCAACACUGACGCUCAUGCACAAAAGCGUGGGGAGCAAACAGGAUUAGAUACCCCGGUAGUCCCUGUCUCUUAUAC